AGCAGCCGCGGUAAUUCCAGCUCCAAUAGCGUAUAUUAAAGUUGUUGCAGUUAAAAAGCUCGUAGUUGAAUUUCGGGAUCAAUACGUCGGUCGUGCUUAGGUAUGUACUGGCGUAAUUGAUUUCUCCCUUCUGACGAACCAUGAUGUCAUUGACUUGGUGUCAUGGGAAAUCAGGACUGUUACUUUGAAAAAAUUAGAGUGUUUAAAGCAGGCUCACGCUUGAAUACAUUAGCAUGGAAUAAUGAAAUAGGACGUUCGAUCCUAUUUUGUUGGUUUUAGGAUCAACGUAAUGAUUAAUAGGGAUAGUUGGGGGCAUUAGUAUUCAAUUGUCAGAGGUGAAAUUCUUGGAUUUAUUGAAGACUAACUACUGCGAAAGCAUUUGCCAAGGAUGUUUUCAUUAAUCAAGAACGAAAGUUAGGGGAUCGAAGACGAUCAGAUACCGUCGUAGUCUUAACCAUAAACUAUGCCGACUAGGGAUCGGAUGAUGUUAAUUUUUAAUGACUCAUUC
rnacentral:rRNA from 1 species